rnacentral:rRNA from 1 species
GAUGAACGCUGGCGGCGUGCCUAAGACAUGCAAGUCGAGUGGGUUUAGACCCACGGCGAACGGGUGAGUAAUACCUAGGAACUUUUUUUAAGUGGAGCAUAACCAGUCGAAAGAUUGGAUAAUACUCCAUAUUAUCGCAAGAUGAAAGCAGCAAUGCGCUUAAAAUGAGGCCUGGGCACCAUCAGCUAGUUGGUAAGGUAAUGGCUUACCAAGGCUAUGACGGUUAGGGGUCCCGAGAGGGAUAACCCCCACACUGGAACUGCGACACGGUCCAG